UACGUAGGGUGCAAGCGUGUCCGGAAUUAUUGGGCGUAAAGAGCUCGUAGGCGGUUUGUCGCGUCUGCUGUGAAAAUCCGAGGCUCAACCUCGGGCCUGCAGUGGGUACGGGCAGACUAGAGUGCGGUAGGGGAGAUUGGAAUUCCUGGUGUAGCGGUGAAAUGCGCAGAUAUCAGGAAGAACACCCGUGGCUAAGGCGGCUCUCUAGUACGGUACUGACGCUGAGGAGCGAAAGCGUGGGGAGCAAACAGG
rnacentral:rRNA from 1 species